rnacentral:lncRNA from 1 species
AUAUGUGAAUAAAUAAACCAGGAUAGUAGAUACUUUCAAAAGAUGUAAAUUUUGUCUUAUUCUGUACUUACGGUAAACAAUUACUAAGGAAGUGAACAACCACUUUGAAGGGGAAUAGGUCCCUGAACCUUUUGGUCUGAAACUAUUGAAAUGGCUGAUCCUUUCAUUUUAAACAAAGUUUCAGGGUUUUCCCUACUAAAGCUACCCAUGGCAACUUGCCAGAACAAAUCAGCCUUCAACAAAAUGAAGGUCUGAACAUGACAGUUCGGUACAGGCAUGAAGUCACAUUCGCCAGAUGUCCAUUUUUGGAUCAGUCUUUCUAAACCUGCCUUUCUACAUAAAUAAUUCACAUCUUCUCUCAACUAAAAGGUAAGGUUACGGUCAUUGUUAACUACUUAGAAAUACAACAAAUAAUGCUGUUUUUU